AUCCUGGCUCAGGAUGAACGCUAGCUACAGGCUUAACACAUGCAAGUCGAGGGGCAGCAUGGUCUUAGCUUGCUAAGGCCGAUGGCGACCGGCGCACGGGUGAGUAACACGUAUCCAACCUGCCGUCUACUCUUGGACAGCCUUCUGAAAGGAAGAUUAAUACAAGAUGGCAUCAUGAGUAAGCAUUUUCGCAUGAUUAAAGGUUUACCGGUGUAAGAUGGGGAUGCGUUCCAUUAGAUAGUAGGCGGGGUAACGGCCCACCUAGUCUUCGAUGGAUAGGGGUUCUGAGAGGAAGGCCCCCCACAUUGGAACUGAGACACGGUCCAAACUCCUACGGGAGGCAGCAGUGAGGAAUAUUGGUCAAUGGACGAGAGUCUGAACCAGCCAAGUAGCGUGAAGGAUGAAGGUCCUACGGAUUGUAAACUUCUUUUAUAAGGGAAUAAACCCUCCCACGUGUGGGAGCUUGUAUGUACCUUAUGAAUAAGCAUCGGCUAACUCCGUG
rnacentral:rRNA from 1 species